GUCCUCGACAAGUUGUGAUUGCUGCAAUUACUGUUCACUGGGCAUGAAUGCUUCAAAAUGUAGCUCAGAUUGUUCCCUGAAUACAAGACAUACAUACCCCAGCAAAGCUAUCUCCACCUACAAGUACAGUAACUUCUUUCAGGUAUGUGGAGCCAAACAUGACCAAUUGGCAUUGUAAUUUUACAGUUAGUGAAGCCUUUACUAAGUGCUCUGAUAGAACUUCUACCAACAAAACCACUCCUUCAAAGCAUAAAGUUAUGUGAAAGGGAGACACAGAUUGCUCAUAUCAGUCCCAGAGUGAGGAUGGUAAGAGAGGUCACACCUGCUUUCAACAUUUGGCUUAAACUGUAUAACUCAUCUUGAAAUACACUGCUGUAAUCCCACACAAUCCCAAACUAGUUACCUUAGAAAAAUCCAUUUGACAUUGUCAGAUCAGCAUCUUCUAGGUAAAGUAGAAUGUGGUAGAAUCAAUGGACCUCAUGUUCACAUAGUUCUUACUGUGUCUGCAUUACUGUAUUGGGGUCCUUUGAUCAAAGGCAAUUAUGAGAUUUCAUGAUGGUAAGUGAAACAUACAAAUUAGUGACACUGUGGUUAGAGAAGAGAAACUCACAGUAAAAAUAUAGUUUACUUGCCCCUUACAAGGUGAAGGGUCCUGUGUAAUCAGUUUGUCAAUUCAUGGUGUUCUGUCUUCUCCAGGGAUUAUAGCACAUGAGAGUUUCAACAGUGUUUUGUAUUAUGACUUCUCAAGAGAAAACAGAAGAACAUCCCUUUGUGGAUAUAUUUAAUGAAGAUGAAACUGAACAAUGUUUUUUGUUGUCCCGACCUCUUCACUUUGUUGUACUUGGGAAACCAGU
rnacentral:lncRNA from 1 species